GACGAACGCUGGCGGCGUGCUUAACACAUGCAAGUCGAACGGAAAGGCCCGCAUCAUUUUUUUGGUGGGGGUGCUCGAGUGGCGAACGGGUGAGUAACACGUGGGUGAUCUGCCCUGUACUUCGGGAUAAGCUUGGGAAACUGGGUCUAAUACCGGAUAGGACCAUGGUUUAGUGUCUCAUGGUGGAAAGAUUAUUGUUUUGGUGCAGGAUGAGCUCGCGGCCUAUCAGCUUGUUGGUGGGGUAAUGGCCUACCAAGGCGUCGACGGGUAGCCGGCCUGAGAGGGUGGACGGCCACAUUGGGACUGAGAUACGGCCCAGACUCCUACGGGAGGCAGCAGUGGGGAAUAUUGCACAAUGGGCGCAAGCCUGAUGCAGCGACGCCGCGUGGGGGAUGACGGCCUUCGGGUUGUAAACUCCUUUCGUUAGGGACGAAGCCGCACCUUUUUUUGGGUGUGGUGACGGUACCUUUGUUAAGAAGCACGGCU
rnacentral:rRNA from 1 species